CUCAUUCCUGUAUAUACAGCACCCACACCCUGUGCAAAGAUCUUAUUCGGGAGUAACCCUAGUCAGACUGCACGCCAAGGACUCUACUUUCUGGCACCUAAAACAUUCAACCACCGUCCAAUAUAUAAGCACGAAUCUGGUGAUGAUUAAAUAUUCUACAGUGCCUCAAGUGGUAUGUGGUUCAUUGGAAGUUCAAUUCGGACAUCGUUUGUUGGAAUAUAUAGAAAUACCCGCUUGUUCACGCCACAAGCGAUUGGUACACCGUGGUCCGUUUUUGCUGGCAGAACUUGGUCACUGGCACCAACGUUGAAAGCAAAAUGCAUAACAGGUCGCACAUCCUGUCGACGCCUUCUAGUCAGUGGUUUUGGCGGCACUAGUGCCCAAUUCAUUGGCCAGUAUGCCAUCACUGGAAGCGUCUUCAACUACAGAGCUUCAUAUAAGCAUACGUCACGUCGCCUGUAUAUGUACUACAAAUUUGGGUUCUGGCUUAUUGGAACAAUAUUAAAUGUUAGUAACAGUGCAUCGGUAAAGUCAGCCACCAUCGUUGAGUAUCCAGAGAAAGCGAUGACAUGGGAGAUAUAUUCGAAUGGAUGGAGGGUUCAGUCAACCGUUAGAGUGAUUUGCUCAUAAUAGACAGCUGGAGAUGUAAAGAUGUAAAGCAGUUGCUACAACAAGUACAACAAUGGUUACAGAGACAAUUACUGACUUUUCUGACUGACUUGUCACAUUUUUUCUAUCGUAAUUAAAAAAGCAAUAAUAGAUUUGCCAGAUGACUAUAUGUGCUGCAAAAUACUGAAAAUGCUAAAUCAUUUAAUCAUUUAAGAACUAAUUCUUCACAUUCAUCGUUGGAUACCUAUUGGUCUACAUUAAAUACACACACAAUUAAAGCAAUGGUGAACUCAUAGACAAUGUAUUCAUCUUUUAAUUUCAAUUUCUGCAGACCGGACAGAAUGGCAUUUUCCCAUCUGACUAACAAAGAUACAGCCAUCAUUGAUUCAUUACCCCAUGCAAGAUAUUGCCAUCUUUCAUCCUAAAAAGUUACACGUGCAAGAUGACAUUUACUUGUGACAUCACUGGUUUAUAAACAUCAACAACAUGGC
rnacentral:misc_RNA from 1 species